rnacentral:rRNA from 1 species
UACGAAGGGGGCUAGCGUUGUUCGGAAUCACUGGGCGUAAAGGGCGCGUAGGCGGACUGAACAGUCAGGCGUGAAAGCCCUGGGCUUAACCUCGGGACUGCGUCUGAGACGUGUGAUCUAGAGUGAGGAAGAGGGUCGUGGAAUUUCCAGUGUAGAGGUGAAAUUCGUAGAUAUUGGAAAGAACACCGGUGGCGAAGGCGGCGACCUGGUCCUUGACUGACGAUGAGGCGCGAAAGCGUGGGGAGCAAACAGG